CAACAGGGAUUGCCCUAGUAACGGCGAGUGAAGCGGCAACAGCUCAAAUUUGAAAUCUGGCCCCCGGGCCCGAGUUGUAAUUUGCAGAGGAUGCUUUUGGCGCGGUGCCUUCCGAGUUCCCUGGAACGGGACGCCUUAGAGGGUGAGAGCCCCGUACGGUUGGACGCCUAGCCUCUGUAAAGCUCCUUCGACGAGUCGAGUAGUUUGGGAAUGCUGCUCUAAAUGGGAGGUAAAUUUCUUCUAAAGCUAAAUACCGGCCAGAGACCGAUAGCGCACAAGUAGAGUGAUCGAAAGAUGAAAAGCACUUUGAAAAGAGGGUUAAACAGCACGUGAAAUUGUUGAAAGGGAAGCGUUUACGACCAGACCUCUGGCGGGAGGAUCAGCCGGCGUUCUCGCCGGUGCACUUCUCCCGCUCGAGGCCAGCAUCGGUUUCGGCGGGGGGAUAAAAGCCUGGGGAAAGUAGCUCCUCCGGGAGUGUUAUAGCCCUCUGCACAAUACCCCCGCGGGGACCGAGGACCGCGCUUCUGCAAGGAUGCUGGCGUAAUGGUCGUCAACGACCCGUCUUGAAACACGGACCAAGGAGUCGAACAUUUGUGCGAGUGUUUGGGUGUCAAACCCUCACGCGUAAUGAAAGUGAACGGAGGUGAGAGCCCCGCGAGGGGUGCAUCAUCGACCGAUCCUGAAGUCUUCGGAUGGAUUUGAGUAAGAGCAUAACUGUUCGGACCCGAAAGAUGGUGAACUAUGCGUGGAUAGGGUGAAGCCAGAGGAAACUCUGGUGGAGGCUCGCAGCGGUUCUGACGUGCAAAUCGAUCGUCAAAUCUGCGCAUGGGGGCGAAAGAC
rnacentral:rRNA from 1 species